AGUGAACGCUGGCGGCGUGCUUAACACAUGCAAGUCGAACGAGAACGGAUUAUAGCUUGCUAUAAUUGUCAGCUAAGUGGCGCACGGGUGAGUAAUGUAUAGGUAAUAUGCCUCUUACUAAGGGAUAACAAAUGGAAACGUUUGCUAAUACCUUAUACUCCUUAUUAACAGAAGUUAAUAAGGAAGAUUAUUGUAAGAGAUUAGCCUGUAUUGUAUCAGUUAGUUGGUGGGGUAAUGGCUUACCAAGACUAUAGACACAUAACUAGGUUUGUAGAGGAUGAUCAGUCACACUGGAACUGAGACACGGUCCAGACUCCUAC
rnacentral:rRNA from 1 species